GUGAUCACUUUGGCAGCACAUAGAUUAAAAUUGGAACAAUACAAAGAAGAUCAGCAUGGCCUCUGCACAAGGCUGACACACAAAUUUUUGAAGCAUUCCAUAUUUUU
rnacentral:snRNA from 1 species